rnacentral:rRNA from 1 species
AUGUCAACAUGAGCAGACUUAGGCCUUCAAGAUAGAGCUUCUCCAUUAAUAGAACAAUUAACUUUUUUUCAUGAUCAUGCCCUUCUUAUUUUAAUUAUAAUCACUAUUUUAGUAGGUUAUAUUAUAUCAAUACUUUUUUUUAAUAUUUAUACUAAUCGAUUCCUUUUACACGGACAAACUAUUGAAAUAAUUUGAACAAUUCUUCCUGCCAUUGUAUUAUUAUUUAUUGCCUUUCCUUCACUACGGCUACUAUAUUUAUUAGACGAAAUUAAUGAACCUAUUAUUACACUAAAAACAAUUGGUCACCAAUGAUAUUGAAGUUAUGAAUAUUCAGAUUUUAUUGAUCUAGAAUUUGAUUCAUAUAUAAUUCCUACCAAUGAAUUACCCUCUAAUGGAUUUCGCCUUUUAGAUGUUGAUAAUCAUAUUAUUUUACCAAUAAAUACCCAAAUUCGAAUCCUAGUAACUGCUGCGGAUGUAAUUCACUCCUGAACUAUCCCAGCCUUAGGUAUUAAAGUAGAUGGAACCCCAGGUCGAUUAAAUCAAACAAACUUCACAAUUAAUCGACCUGGUCUAUAUUAUGGUCAAUGUUCAGAAAUUUGUGGAGCCAAUCAUAGAUUUAUACCAAUUAUUAUUGAAAGAGUACCAGCUAAUUACUUUAUUAAAUGAUUAUAU